rnacentral:lncRNA from 1 species
CGUUGCUUCUUUUGGGGUAUGAUGCUGCCACUGCACCUUCAUCAUGGGAAUUGUAUUGUUGUGCAAGACUUUAUCGGUCCAUCCAAGAAUCUCCAUGGGGAUCUCCUCACAUGUCAUAUCAACUUGUAUCUGCAUUUCAUUAUGAGGAAUGAUAUGAGAAGGGUCAGGGUGGUACCUUUUGAGCAUCGAGACGUAAAAAACAUCAUGCAAACCUGUAAUCUCUUGGGAUAGAGUAAAGUGGUAAACCACAGGUCCAAUGCGUUCAAUGAUCUGAAAAGGUCCUACAUAAUGUGGGCUU